GAUGAACGCUGGCGGCGUGCUUAACACAUGCAAGUCGAACGAAGCGCUUUUAUUUGAUUUCUUCGGAAUGAAGAUUUUAGUGACUGAGUGGCGGACGGGUGAGUAACGCGUGGGUAACCUGCCUCAUACAGGGGGAUAACAGUUAGAAAUGACUGCUAAUACCGCAUAAGACCACAGUACCGCAUGGUACAGGGGUAAAAACUCCGGUGGUAUGAGAUGGACCCGCGUCUGAUUAGGUAGUUGGUGGGGUAACGGCCUACCAAGCCGACGAUCAGUAGCCGACCUGAGAGGGUGACCGGCCACAUUGGGACUGAGACACGGCCCAAACUCCUACGGGAGGCAGCAGUGGGGAAUAUUGCACAAUGGGGGAAACCCUGAUGCAGCGACGCCGCGUGAGCGAUGAAGUAUUUCGGUAUGUAAAGCUCUAUCAGCAGGGAAGAAAAUGACGGUACCUGACUAAGAAGCACCGGCUAAAUACGUGCCAGCCGCCGCAGUAAAAC
rnacentral:rRNA from 1 species